UGCUGAAGAAGAGCCCUGCAUGAGCUCGAGAGCUCGUCUCUUUCACCACCAGAAAUUCGUGCAAUAAAAGGUAUCACCUUGUCCCUCUGAUGUCCCGGGACCAACCCGGUUACAACAACGCUCUAUAAUUUCAGUUUGACAAGACAUUCUCCACCUCCCGACAUAAAAUAUUGUGCUGUUUUACUAUGCAUUAAGCAGCUGUCACAUUCCAGCCCAGUGGUGGGUGAAGUGAUGCUUUGUGCAGUUUAGAUAGCAGACUAUGAAACAUCGUUGGAUCCUAUGGGGACUAGAGAAAUCAGCACCUAAGACCCUCAGAAAAGAUCUGGGCCUCUAUACAGCUGUUGUACAUACACAGAGCAAGAGACAGCGCCUGCUCUGAAGAGCUUAUCAUCUAAAUCGACACAACAGCAGUAGCACAGAGAUGCGGAAACUAAGCAGAUGAACGUUGGACGCCAAGAAGUCAAAAAAGAAUGUCGCUGGAAACAAAAUGGAAAAAGUACUUGAAAAUUAACACCCGAUCCUGAGGUCUGUGGGAGCUUUGCAUGCCCGAGGGUUGCAGGACAGGGCUGUAAAUUGCUG